rnacentral:rRNA from 1 species
UACGUAGGCAGCAAGGGUUGUUCGGAAUUACUGGGCGUAAAGAGUGUGUAGGCGGUGUUCUAAGUUUGUCGUGAAAUCUCCCGGCUUAACUGGGAGGGUGCGGCGAAAACUGGAAUGCUAGAGGAUGGGAGAGGUAAGCGGAAUUCCUGGUGUAGCGGUGAAAUGCGUAGAUAUCAGGAGGAACACCUGUGGUGUAGACAGCUUACUGGACCAUUUCUGACGCUGAGACACGAAAGCGUGGGUAGCAAACGGG